rnacentral:rRNA from 1 species
UUGAACGCUGGCGGCAUGCCUUACACAUGCAAGUCGAACGGUAGAGGGGCAACCCUUGAGAGUGGCGAACGGGUGAGUAAUAUAUCGGAACGUGCCCAGUCGUGGGGGAUAACGCAGCGAAAGCUGCGCUAAUACCGCAUACGAUCUAAGGAUGAAAGCGGGGGAUCGCAAGACCUCGCGCGAUUGGAGCGGCCGAUAUCAGAUUAGGUAGUUGGUGGGGUAAAAGCCCCACCAAG